GAAAUUGCAAAGAGGCCUCUUUGCAAUAAAAGACUGAAAUUCAAACCUGAUUUUGCCUUGUAGCAAAUAACAUUAGCCAAUGUGUGCUAAUCACAAAAACUUGCCGUUUUGAUUUCCAAACACAGUUUGGUAUUUAAAUUAGAGCAAAAAUUAAUGACGAAUCAAUGGGGGAAUAAAAAGGUGUUUUAGCGCAAGCCAAAUUUAUACAGAAACCUAACAGAACCAAUGGAUUCCUCAUCCAGGAUAGUCAGGACCAUAACAUGUGGCUCUUGAAGCAGUGAACGAAAGAAAGCACUGAAGACAUGCAAGUAACACAUUAAAUACAAGAAAAAGUUUUAUAAAAAGGAAAAAGAAAAACAAGAGUACUGAUACUCAAAGAGUGAAAACUGAAAAACAGUCCAGCUGUGUUUUUUGGUGUUUAUUGUUCUUGUGGCGUUUUUCUGAUUAUAGGGGACAUUUAUUACGAACUUUAAGCUCAAAAUUGCAUUUGUGAGGAUUUCUUUAUUCAAAUCAUUGUGAAUAAAGAGCAGAUGAAAAAAAUGCAGUUUGAAAAAGCUCAUAUUUGUGUCAUAGAAAAUGCGCCGGGCGGGCCACAACCUACCUAUACUCCAUUCUGAUUCAUCCACUUGCAGACAAAUAGAUCCUUGUUUUCCCUGUCUGAGCUGGAAUCAGGCUCAAAACUGUACGGUUGGACGGCUCAAAUUUUGCUUGCUAUUUUUAUUGCACAGGUAAUGUUAGGUUGGGGGUGCGCAGGUCUGUAAGUUAGUGAGAUAGUUAUAAAAGAUAGCUCAGUUAGGUGUGAUGGGAAAGGGGGCGGGGUUGCUCCAAUAGUUCCAACUUAAAAGGCGAAUUUUUAAUGAACUCCUGCCGCUAUGCAGAAACUGUCCAAGAAAAAGACAGGCUUUUUUUUGUCUUUUAUAAUAGAUCAAAAAAUGAUCGGAGUGGGACUUUAGGAAACCGAACAGAAAAUGUUGAGAGUUGGAAACAGAAGAACAAGGAGGUUUUAUUUUUUCACUUAAGUCUUAGUUUUCAUAAGCCUUUCAAGGUGAAAAUAGUUUCGAAACAAUCCUUUGUACCAAAUGCACCACAGUGAUUAACAUUUUUACUGAAGUACAAUCUCAGAACAGCACAAGCUUUUGGACAUUUCUGUUUUUAGUGGUAAACACUCAAGUCUGUGACUUUCUCCACCUAGAGCAGGUUUACCGCUUUGCCAGCCGACGUGAGAAUAGAGUGAAUGUUUGUACCAGAUGGCCUGUUUAACAUGCCCACUGAUUUACAGGCAGGAGAUUAACUCGUGUUUGCUGCAAAACCAUGGAGAGGAAGAUGGACAGAAGCAGAGGGGACAGAAAGGACAGCACCUGUGUCAGCCUUUUUGCCUUAAAGCCUCAUCUCCGCAUAGUGAAGAGUGAUGGAAACGGCCUGAAAGAUUUCUGCAACGCUGAACCAGAGAAGGGCGCAAACCUGCCCCCGAGGACCUCUGACAAGAGCUCACAAGAUCCCUGUGAAUGCCUGAGGAUGCAAAAAAGGGGGCCAAGGACAUUCAGACAAAUGUAUAUUUAAAAAUAUAUAUAUCCACCAGCUAGAAAUGGAAGACUAAAACUCAAGAAUAUGUAUGAGCAUAAAUACCAAAAACAACCUGGACAGAAAUGGAGAUUUAACAGCUGCUCCCGCAAUAAAGCGAAACAAGUAAACCACAUGUAAAAUGAAUUUAAGUCAUAUGUCCUGGUCAUACGCUACAUCAAGCAGAAUAUUUUAUCUGAGAGUGCCUAUUCCUUCGAAGUGAACCGAUGUCCUUGUAACAGGAUGCAUUUUUCAGGUGACAUUUUCCAAGUUCCCAUGUAAUUCUGCAACUCAUGUAAAUGUAUAAUUCAAGAGGCAGGAGGCGAGACUGCUGAGGUUUUAUAGUGCACUGGGGUUUUCUUGCUCAUGAAAGAAAAAGAAAAAAAAAAAAAAAGAGGAAAACUUUGUGCCCUUGACAAUAUAGUUGACUGCCAUGUGCCGACCAGCAAGGUCUUCGUGUAACAUGGAAAGUGAGGCAGAAUAGAAGGAAUUUUAGUGUUGAUUUCAAAGGGAAGUGAAUAGAUUCGACAGACUGCUGAACUUGCAGCUUGGAAAUGGGGGGAAAAGAAGAUGAAGACGACGAGGGAACUGGGAGUUGGGGUGUAAAUAACGUACACAUCACUGCGUCCACUGAUCUCUUUCUCCGUCUUGCAGUCUCUGCCACGAGGCACUGCGGGUCCAGCUUGCCGACUAAAGUGGGGGUGGUGUCCCCAGAGAGUGUGUGCAUGCGUACGUCUGUGUGCACCGGCUGUCUGCACAGAAUCAAAGCGUGUUUGAGUAAGCAGAAAAGAGACAGUGAGAGUAUGGUGUGUGUGCACGUGUGGCGCCUCCUUCCAUCUGCAACCAAGUUAGUGUGCGUCCAAAUGUGUACACAGAACACUGAUAAUCAGAUUAUGUAAUCUUUAAGCCUUAUGAAAAAACCUCUGUCAGCUCUUUGCUUCUGUUUGCUUGGUGGUUUACUUCAUGCACAAAACACAGAUAAGAAAGAUGAUGGCAUGAAUAAAUGCACCUGGCAUAGAAACAACUGUGAACCUGUCAGUCACAUAGAAUAGAAAAUGCAUUGCAACUGAAGCUUGGGAAUUAUCCGUGAAUAAAAGCACUCUGUCCUCUCCAUCGUUUCAGUGAUGUGAUGCCUGACCACUCUCCUUCAGACCACACUGCAGGCAAUAAUCUGUCCUUGCUGUGAUCUUGUCAUCCUUUUGCACAUUCCAAAAAAAAAAAAAAAAA